GCCCUUGCGCUGUCCCUGGCCUGGGCAUGGUGUGUGUGGGGCCGCAGGGUUUGGGUGACGGUGGUCUCGGGGUGCCCAUCUGGCUGUGAUGGCCCUGGCUGGGCUCCUGCAGGAGCGGGGUUCCAAGAGGGGCUUGCUCAGAGCAGCACCGUGCCGUGGGGACGGGGCUCUCCGUGUGUCCCAGCCGCCCCCAAAGCCCUUGCUCGCUUUUAUGACCCCCCCUCGCCACCCACCCCACCUCCCCAGGCUUGCCCUCCCGGCCAGAAGCACUUUAGGAAGGGGGUGAUGUGCUGCCACCUUGGGGGGGCACGGCUCGGCUGGGGACGUGGGGACGUGGGGAGCACAGACACGAGUGUGCCAGGGCCUGGGGGGGGCAUCAAGUCAAGUCACUGUCACUGUUACACGUCGUUCUCAUACGUUAUGCAAAUAUUUGCUGUAAAUUUCCCCCCCCACCCUUUUUUUUUUUUUUUUUUUUGUGCCAUAGAGAAAAGAAAGUCUUUUAUUAAAGCCAGACACUCUGAUAGAAAAGAAAAGUCGUCAAGGGAAAAAAGAAAAAUAAAAAGCAACCCUUUGUCAUCGGAGUUUGCAAGUUACAACGGUCACGUUUCGCACAGAACUACCCAUGGCAUCCAUACAGAGAUACAGAGACUACGUACAGCCGGCCAGGCCAGCCCGCGCCCUGCCCGGCCCCGGCGAGUCCUUGCUUUUGUUUUUCCUUUGCUUAAAUUUUAA
rnacentral:lncRNA from 1 species